rnacentral:rRNA from 1 species
GUCCCACAUCAACCUAGAGGGGCCUGUCCUAUAAUCGAUAGUCCACGCUUCACCCACCCCGCUCUAGCUUUUCAGUCUAUAUACCGCCGUCUUCAACUUGCCUAUUGAUAGUCACCAAACACGUACAACUGGCCCCCCCCCCAUACGUCAGGUCAAGGUGUAGCUAACGAGCCGGAAGAGAUGGGCCACAUUUUCUUUCCACCAAGAAAAAACCACAAGCGCCAUGAA